rnacentral:rRNA from 1 species
GCCGCGGUAAUACGGAGGAUCCGAGCGUUAUCCUGAUUUAUUGGGUUUAAAGGGAGCGUAGGCGGCCUAUUAAGUCAGUGGUGAAAGACGGCAGCUCAACUGUCGCAGUGCCAUUGAUACUGAUGGGCUAGAAUGUAGCUGAGGUAGGCGGAAUGUGACAAGUAGCGGUGAAAUGCAUAGAUAUGUCACAGAACACCGAUUGCGAAGGCAGCUUGCUAAACUAUAAUUGACGCUGAGGCUCGAAAGCGUGGGUAUCGAACAG